CCAUGCAUGUCUAAGUAUAAGCAAUUUAUACAGUGAAACUGCGAAUGGCUCAUUAAAUCAGUUAUCGUUUAUUUGAUAGUACCUUACUACUUGGAUAACCGUGGUAAUUCUAGAGCUAAUACAUGCUUAAAAUCCCGACUGUUUGGAAGGGAUGUAUUUAUUAGAUAAAAAAUCAAUGUCUUCGGACUCUUUGAUGAUUCAUAAUAACUUUUCGAAUCGCAUGGCCUUGUGCUGGCGAUGGUUCAUUCAAAUUUCUGCCCUAUCAACUUUCGAUGGUAGGAUAGUGGCCUACCAUGGUUUCAACGGGUAACGGGGAAUAAGGGUUCGAUUCCGGAGAGGGAGCCUGAGAAACGGCUACCACAUCCAAGGAAGGCAGCAGGCGCGCAAAUUACCCAAUCCCGACACGGGGAGGUAGUGACAAUAAAUAACGAUACAGGGCCCUUUCGGGUCUUGUAAUUGGAAUGAGUACAAUGUAAAUACCUUAACGAGGAACAAUUGGAGGGCAAGUCUGGUGC
rnacentral:rRNA from 1 species